AACGAACGCUGGCGGCAUGCCUAACACAUGCAAGUCGAACGAGACCUUCGGGUCUAGUGGCGCACGGGUGCGUAACGCGUGGGAACCUGCCCUUAGGUUCGGAAUAACUCCCCGAAAGGGGUGCUAAUACCGGAUAAUGUCUUCGGACCAAAGAUUUAUCGCCUUUGGAUGGGCCCGCGUUGGAUUAGCUAGUUGGUAGGGUAAAAGCCUACCAAGGCGAAGAUCCAUAGCUGGUCUGAGAGGAUGAUCAGCCACACUGGGACUGAGACACGGCCCAGAAUCCUACGGGAGGCAGCAGACGGGAAUAUUGGACAAUGGGCGAAAGCCUGAUCCAGCAAUGCCGCGUGAGUGAUGAAGGCCGUAGGGUUGUAAAGCUCUUUUACCCGGGAUGAUAAUGACAGUACCGGGAGAAUAAGCUCCGGCUAACUCCGUG
rnacentral:rRNA from 1 species